GUGCUUGCUUCAGAAGCACAUAUACUAAAACUGAAAUGAUACAGAGAUUACCACGGCCCCUGCGCAAGGAUGACACACAAAUUUGUGAAGCAUUCCAUAUUAAA